rnacentral:rRNA from 1 species
GGUCUCUGGGCCAAUACUGACACUGAGGAGCGAAAGUCUGGGGAGCGAACAGGAUUAGAUACCCUGGUAGUCCAGACCGUAAACGGUGGGCACUAGUUGUGGGAACCUUCCACGGUUUCUGCGACGCAGCUAACGCAUUAAGUGCCCCGCCUGGGGAGUACGAUCGCAAGAUUAAAACUCAAAGGAAUUGACGGGGCCCCGCACAAGCAGCGGAGCAUGCGGCUUAAUUCGACGCAACGCGAAGAACCUUACCAAGGCUUGACAUAUAGGGAAAAGUGGCAGAGAUGUCAUGUCCGCAAGGGCUCUAUACAGGUGGUGCAUGGUUGUCGUCAGCUCGUGUCGUGAGAUGUUGGGUUAAGUCCCGCAACGAGCGCAACCCUCGUUCUGUGUUGCCAGCAUUUAGUUGGGGACUCACAGGAGACUGCCGGGGUUAACUCGGAGGAAGGUGGGGAUGACGUCAAAUCAUCAUGCCCCUUAUGUCUUGGGCUGCACGCAUGCUACAAUGGCCGGUACAGAGGGCUGCAAUACCGUAAGGUGGAGCGAAUCCCAAAAAGCCGGUCUCAGUUCGGAUUGAGGUCUGCAACUCGACCUCAUGAAGUUGGAGUUGCUAGUAAUCGUAGAUCAGCAACGCUACGGUGAAUACGUUCCCGGGGCUUGUACACACCGCCCGUCACGUCACGAAAGUCGUAACACCCCAAAGUCAGUGCCCAACC